rnacentral:rRNA from 1 species
CUUUCCCUCUUUCUGCCUUCCUAACACAUGCAAGUCGAACGAGUGGCGGACGGGUGAGUAAUGUCUGGGAAACUGCCCGAUGGAGGGGGAUAACUACUGGAAACGGUAGCUAAUACCGCAUACCAUCGGAUGUGCCCAGAUGGGAUUAGCUAGUAGGUGGGGUAACUGCGCACCUGGGCGACGAUCCCUAGCUGGUCUGAGAGGAUGACCAGCCACAAGGGAACGGAGACACGGUCCAGACUCCUACGGGAGGCAGCAGUGGGGAAUAUUGCACAAUGGGCGCAAGCCUGAUGCAGCCAUGCCGCGUGUAUGAAGAAGGCCUUCGGGUUGUAAAGUACUUUCAGCGAGGAGGCGUUACUCGCAGAAGAAGCACCGGCUAACUCCGUGACAGCAGCCGAGGGAAUUC